UGUUUUCGCCCGCAAGGGCGUUUCCUCCCUAGAUUUUGGACCGCACGUUUGUGCGGUCUUUUUUUAUGCGGAUU
rnacentral:sRNA from 1 species